rnacentral:rRNA from 1 species
GAUGAACGCUGGCGGCGUGCCUAAUACAUGCAAGUCGAGCGAACAGACGAGGAGCUUGCUCCUCUGACGUUAGCGGCGGACGGGUGAGUAACAAGUGGAUAACCUACCUAUAAGACUGGGAUAACUUCGGGAAACCGGAGCUAAUACCGGAUAACAUGUUGAACCGCAUGGUUCAACAGUGAAAGACGGUCUUGCUGUCACUUAUAGAUGGAUCCGCGCCGCAUUAGCUAGUUGGUAAGGUAACGGCUUACCAAGGCAACGAUGCGUAGCCGACCUGAGAGGGUGAUCGGCCACACUGGAACUGAGACACGGUCCAGACUCCUACGGGAGGCAGCAGUAGGGAAUCUUCCGCAAUGGGCGAAAGCCUGACGGAGCAACGCCGCGUGAGUGAAGAAGGUCUUCGGAUCGUAAAACUCUGUUAUUAGGGAAGAACAAAUGUGUAAGUAACUAUGCACGUCUUGACGGUACCUAAUCAGAAAGCCACGGCUAACUACGUG